GAGGAACGUCACAGUUUCUUUCGGCUUUCUUCUCUACGCUAGCUCGGUAAGCUCAAGCACCCCCCAUAAAAUAUUAUAACUGACGCUCUCAGCUCCUGGCCACCUGUAGAAGAAAAGGGUCGAUAUUAACACGGAUCUAAUAGUCCCUCAACCCAUUAAGAUGGCUUAAUCAUCCCUGCACUUUCCCAUCAAGUUUGUAAAGGCUCGAUUGUUUCCCUCUUGACGCGGUAAUUAAACGGCAGGGCAAUUCAAGCAACUUUUUGUCCUUUCCCUUAAUUAGGGACACUUACACCUACAAAUAUACAUUUACACAUCCUGCAGAAUUGUGGAAUGAAUUUUCAUCUCGUUGACAGGGACU